rnacentral:rRNA from 1 species
CUGUGAGCUCGAUGAGUAGGGCGGGACACGUGGUAUCCUGUCUGAAUAUGGGGGGACCAUCCUCCAAGGCUAAAUACUCCUGACUGACCGAUAGUGAACCAGUACCGUGAGGGAAAGGCGAAAAGAACCCCGGCGAGGGGAGUGAAAAAGAACCUGAAACCGUGUACGUACAAGCAGUGGGAGCCCUGAUUUAUCAGGGUGACUGCGUACCUUUUGUAUAAUGGGUCAGCGACUUAUAUUCUGUAGCAAGGUUAACCGAAUAGGGGAGCCGGAGGGAAACCGAGUCUUAACUGGGCGUUAAGUUGCAGGGUAUAGACCCGAAACCCGGUGAUCUAGCCAUGGGCAGGUUGAAGGUUGGGUAACACUAACUGGAGGACCGAACCGACUAAUGUUGAAAAAUUAGCGGAUGACUUGUGGCUGGGGGUGAAAGGCCAAUCAAACCGGGAGAUAGCUGGUUCUCCCCGAAAGCUAUUUAGGUAGCGCCUCGUGAAUUCAUCUCCGGGGGUAGAGCACUGUUUCGGCAAGGGGGUCAUCCCGACUUACCAACCCGAUGCAAACUGCGAAUACCGGAGAAUGUUAUCACGGGAGACACACGGCGGGUGCUAACGUCCGUCGUGAAGAGGGAAACAACCCAGACCGCCAGCUAAGGUCCCAAAGUCAUGGUUAAGUGGGAAACGAUGUGGGAAGGCCCAGACAGCCAGGAUGUUGGCUUAGAAGCAGCCAUCAUUUAAAGAAAGCGUAAUAGCUCACUGGUCGAGUCGGCCUGCGCGGAAGAUGUAACGGGGCUAAACCAUGCAC